rnacentral:rRNA from 1 species
GACGAACCGAGCGAACGUUGUUCGGAAUCACUGGGCUUAAAGGGCGCGUAGGCGGGUACUCAAGUCUGUGGUGAAAUCCUCCGGCUCAACCGGAGAACUGCCAUGGAUACUGGGUGUCUCGAGGGUGGUAGGGGUAUGCGGAACUAUCGGUGGAGCGGUGAAAUGCGUUGAUAUCGAUAGGAACUCCGGUGGCGAAGGCGGCAUACUGGACCACUUCUGACGCUGAGGCGCGAAAGCGUGGGGAGCAAACGGG